rnacentral:lncRNA from 1 species
AACAUAUGGGCACGAUCUGCGCCGCGGAGGGACCCGGCUUGCGACGCUUGCUGCCCGCUGCCCGCUGCCCGCGGCUGCGCCCCCGACCGAGCCUGCAGGCGCACAGGUGCCCAGCGUCCGUCCGAGCACGGGGCCGACCCUUGAAGUCGCCGGCCGGCCUCACCGGGGACACAGGGCUUCUCCUCUGCAGACCACAGCUGGCACCCGGCCCCUGUACUCCACCACAGACCCAGCGGCACCCUUGGGAGAACCUAGCGCACUCGACAACUACACCUCCUGUGUAUCGUGAAAUCCCCCUGGGGGAAACAUCGGUACUCAGACGCCCACAGUACUCGUCCUGGAACACGGGUGCCUGCCCCUCCUCUUCCUUCUUCACCGGGAGCUUCGAGCAAGGCCCUGGGAACAGAAGAGGUGUGCAACUGUCCAAGAGGCAUGCAACCAUCCAAGAGGCGUGCAACCAUCCAAGAGGUGUGCAACCAUCCAAGAGGCGUGCAACCAUCCAAGAGGCAUGCAAUCGUCCAAGAGGCGUGCAAUCAUCCAAGAGGUGUGCAAUCAUCCAAGAGGCGUGCAACCAUCCAAGAGGCGUGCAACCGUCCAAGAGGUGUGCAACCAUCCAAGAGGCAUGCAACCGUCCAAGAGGCGUGCAAUCAUCCAAGAGGUGUGCAACCAUCCAAGAGGCGGGCAACCGUCCAAGAGGUGUGCAACCAUCCAAGAGGUGUGCAAUCAUCCAAGAGGCGGGCAACCACCCAAGAAGCGUGCAACUGUCCAAGAGGCGUGCAACCAUCCAAGAAGCGUGCAACCAUCCAAGAAGCGUGCAACUGUCCAAGAGGCGUGCAACCAUCCUGUCUGACAAGAACGCUGUGCAGGUGAAAGGCCAAGACAUCACUAGUGCCACAUCCUGA